rnacentral:rRNA from 1 species
GUGCCAGCCGCCGCGGUAAGACGAACCGUGCGAACGUUGUUCGGAAUCACUGGGCUUAAAGGGUGCGUAGGCGGGCUGUCAAGUCCGGGGUGAAAGCCCCCCGCUCAACGGGGGAAUGGCCUUGGAUACUGGCAGUCUGGAGGAAGGUAGGGGCAGAUGGAACUCUCGGUGGAGCGGUGAAAUGCGUAGAUAUCGGGAGGAACGCCGGUGGCGAAAGCGAUCUGCUGGACCUUUUCUGACGCUGAUGCACGAAAGCCAGGGGAGCAAACGGGAUUAGAAACCCCGGUAGUCC